rnacentral:rRNA from 1 species
GCCGCGGUAUUUUGACCGUGCAAAGGUAGCGUAAUCAUUUGUCUUUUAAAUGAAGACCUGUAUGAAUGGCUAGACGAGGGCUUAACUGUCUCCUUUUUCAGGUCAAUGAAAUUGAUCUCCCCGUGCAAAAGCGGGGAUAUAUCCAUAAGACGAGAAGACCCUAUGGAGCUUUAGAUGCCACAGCAAGCAUAGCUGCUACAUCCAGAUAAAGGAGUAUCCACUAGCUUCUGCCUCAACAUCUUCGGUUGGGGUGACCAUGGGGAACAAAAAACCCCCACGUCUCUGUACUGGAGUCUCUAUUAAACCUAACAGACUCUUUCAAACAAGAGCCGCCGCUCUACUUAACAGAAUUUCUGACCACUGAUCCGGCAAUGCCGAUUAACGAACCCAGUUACCCUAGGGAUAACAGCGCAAUCCCCUUUUAGAGUCCAUAUCGAUAAGGGGGCUUACGACCUCGAUGUUGG